ensembl:snRNA Gm25964 predicted gene, 25964
GCUUCCACCAAAGCAGGAUCAUAUCAGACUUAACUGAAGAUUAGCAUGGCCCCUGCAUAAAGAUGACACACAAAUUCCUGAAGUGUUUAAAUUUUUC